CCUACGGGCGGCAGCAGUGGGGGAUAUUGCACAAUGGGGGAAACCCUGAUGCAGCGACGCCGCGUGGGUGAAGAAGCGCCUCGGCGCGUAAAGCCCUGUCAGCAGGGAAGAAAAUGACGGUACCUGAAGAAGAAGCCCCGGCUAACUACGUGCCAGCAGCCGCGGUAAUACGUAGGGGGCAAGCGUUAUCCGGAUUUACUGGGUGUAAAGGGGGCGCAGACGGCGAUGCAAGCCAGGAGUGAAAGCCCGGGGCCCAACCCCGGGACUGCUCUUGGAACUGCGUGGCUAGAGUGCAGGAGGGGCAGGCGGAAGUCCGGGGGUAGCGGUGAAAUGCGUAGAUAUAAGGAGGAACACCGGUGGCGAAGGCGGCCUGCUGGACUGCAACUGACGUUGAGGCCCGAAAGCGUGGGGAGCAAACAGGAUUAGAUACCCCAGUAGUC
rnacentral:rRNA from 1 species